ACCAGAAGGCUGGCCCGACGAUGCUUCUUUCAGGGCUCGAACCACGGAAAACAGCUGGGCUGACUUGUGAGGUCUGUCCACAGGGACGCAGAGGCCAGCCCGACCCAGACACUCGUAUACAGAUGGGUUUUGAAGAAGGAACUGGGACAAACUUGCAGGCAGGAAGCCAAGGCAAGACUGCUUCUCUGGGAGCAAGAAGUUACCCAGCAGAGUUGGCGGAAUCCACAAGAGGGCUGAGGCCGUUCUUUUAACCCUGAACACGUGCACAGAUGCAGGUUUUUCCCUUGACCUGGCACCUGGCACCCCAGCCUGGCACGCACAGACGCUUCCUUCUCCUUCCUACAGACGCUCUCCCCGCGGUCAGGCCAGCACUGAGGUCCACGGGCACCCCCACACCCAGCAAGCCCUCCUCCUGCUCAGCGCCGGGUCCCAGCCCUGCCGGCCGACACCGCUCCAGCUGCCCCUGGCAGCCGCACCGGACGGCAAUUCCCAGCAGAGCCCUGCUGCUGGCCACCACUCAUUGUUCCCUGUUUAACGGGGGCUUUCUGUCCCUUCCGCUGACAAAGACAGGAAGCUCUGGGAGCUGGGCAAUCAAGAUAACCCGUGAAACAUGCUACAGCUCUGAUCCGCGGAGGCCGCUGCGGCCCAGGAGGGAACACGUCGCCGGACAGAGUCGAACUGCUCACUCUCGAAAAAGAGCUUUGUGAAUGCUUAACUUUUUUAAAAUAAAGGAUACAUCACCGCUGACCAAUCAUGACAAAAUCUAGA